ACUUUAUAUUUUUAUUUAGUGAACUUUGAGCUUUAUGUCCUUUCCUUGUUAUAGAACUAGUUAUACAUUGCUCUGAUAUCACUAGAUCUCUUGUAUUAUUGUUUUAUCUAUCGAAAUUUUUGUAGACGCCUUAUAUGUUUUAGACGUAUGGCGUGUAUGGGCACGCGCCGGGUAGGCUUCCGCUCAGCCCCGGGGCGUGACACUAAGUACUUUUAUUGUUAAUGAAGUUUUAUUACUUGUUUACAAAUUGUGGAUUUGAUGUAAGUUUGUUUAUAUAUAUGUGUGCGUGUGUGUAUGUAUUUAUAUCAUUGUGCAUGCAAAGUAAUUAUGUGCAUGGUUAAAAAUAAUAAAUGGUCAAAAAUAAAUUAUGAUGAAAUGCAAUAUUUGUAUCAUUAACGACGGGAAGAACAGUCGUUGUUAUAUUAUCUUCUUCUAUUUGUGAAAUGCUUUUAACGACGAAAAAUUUUUGGUCGUUAUUAACACUAUGAAUAGGAUAAAUGUAGUUUUUGUAAUCUCUAUUACGAUAGUAAAAUUAGUGGUUAUUGUACAAUGGAGUGGUUACUAAUGUAACUAAAUAACAACGAUAAACGAUGUGGUCGUGAGUAAUCUAUAACGACUAGCGAUUCAUUUUGGUCGUAACUGGUUUUAACGAAGGAAGCUUUUACGACGGGUCACGACGGGUGAACUGUUCGUCGUUAUUGACUUUUAACGACGGGAAUCUGGGCAUAUAACGACGGUUUCUCCUUUCGUUAAAUAAGGUAUUUCCUGUAGUGAGAUUGGUUUAUGGUAAAAAUUCGAUUUGACGCUUCCGUUGCGAAAUCCCAACAAUCGGUACCAAAUCAACAGCAAUCGGUAUCAGAGCAGGUUGCGGAUUCUCAAGAUCUGGUACCG
rnacentral:lncRNA from 1 species